rnacentral:rRNA from 1 species
UAGGGAAUCUUCCGCAAUGGACGCAAGUCUGACGGAGCAACGCCGCGUGAGUGAAGAAGGAUUUCGGUUCGUAAAACUCUGUUGUUAGAGAAGAACAGCGCAUAGAGUAACUGUUAUGCGUGUGACGGUAUCUAACCAGAAAGCCACGGCUAACUACGUGCCAGCAGCCGCGGUAAUACGUAGGUGGCAAGCGUUGUCCGGAUUUAUUGGGCGUAAAGCGAGCGCAGGCGGUCAAUUAAGUCUGAUGUGAAAGCCCCCGGCUCAACCGGGGAGGGUCAUUGGAAACUGGUUGACUUGAGUGCAGAAGAGGAGAGUAGAAUUCCUUGUGUAGCGGUGAAAUGCGUAGAUAUAUGGAGGAACACCAGUGGCGAAGGCGACUCUCUGGUCUGUAACUGACGCUGAGGCUCGAAAGCGUGGGUAGCAAACAGG